UCCCCGGUAGCUCAAUGGUAGAGCAAUCGGCUGUUAACCGAUUGGUUGCUGGUUCGAAUCCAGCCCGGGGAGCCA
rnacentral:tRNA from 3 species